UACGGGGGUGGCAAGCGUUGUUCGGAAUUACUGGGCGUAAAGCGCACGUAGGCGGAUUUGUAAGUCAGGGGUGAAAUCCCGGGGCUCAACCUCGGAACUGCCUUUGAUACUGCAAAUCUCGAGUCCGGAAGAGGUGAGUGGAAUUCCUAGUGUAGAGGUGAAAUUCGUAGAUAUUAGGAAGAACACCAGUGGCGAAGGCGGCUCACUGGUCCGGUACUGACGCUGAGGUGCGAAAGCGUGGGGAGCAAACAGG
rnacentral:rRNA from 1 species